CUGCGGAGCCUGCGCUCUGAAGCCCCAGCCCCACGCCGAGCCCACGUGCCGCCUCUGCCGCAGAGCGAGCGCCCCAGAGCCCGCGCCCCGCAACAGCAGAGAGGCUCACGCCGCAGCUCCCCGCAACAGGACCCAGCACAGCCAUAAACAAAUGAAAAUAAAAGACGCGCACUCUCGACACACAAGGAAAUGCAAACUCGGGCAGAAGCAACAGCCUCACUUUCAUCUGAGGAGCUGGCAAAACCCGAAAAGAGUAACACCCAGGGCCGGUAGAGAUUCGGAGAAAGAGACAUUCCUGCUCAUUGCUGGUAGGAACGCGGCCAGCUGCGACUUUUCUGGAAAGGAACUUGCUUCUCUGAAAACCACACUUGACAGCAAAGAGGAAGAAACUUCUGACAUGAGCUACGAGGCGGAUGAAUGUCCAGGAUGUUGGGCCAAGUGGACAAGCCAGAGCUGGGCGAGACACGCAGGGGGAUCCCAGCAACCGUUUCCGGUAAACAACAUCUACAUUGAAAAUAAUAGAUCCAACUGUCCAUUUGAAAAAGCACGGUAAAUACACAGGGAGGUUUUUAUGCACAUCGUGUAAAAUUCCCUCUAUAGACACCUGUCUGCUCA
ensembl:lncRNA